AGAGUUUGAUCAUGGCUCAGAACGAACGCUGGCGGCGCGUUUUAAGCAUGCAAGUCGAGCGGCAAGGGUCUUCGGGCCCCUAGAGCGGCGGACGGGUGAGUAACACGUGGACAAUCUGCCCCCCGGCCGGGGAUAGCCCAGGGAAACCUGGAUUAAUACCGGAUGAGACGGGACCCGCGGAGGCGGGAUCCGGGAAAGGCGCUGCGGCGCCGCCGGGGGAUGAGUCUGCGUCCCAUUAGCUUGACGGCGGGGUAACGGCCCACCGUGGCGACGAUGGGUAGCCGGCCUGAGAGGGUGUACGGCCACAUUGGAACUGAGACACGGUCCAGACUCCUACGGGAGGCAGCAGCUAAGAAUCUUCCGCAAUGGGCGAAAGCCUGACGGAGCGACGCCGCGUGAACGAAGAAGGCCGUGAGGUUGUAAAGUUCUUUUCGGGAGGGGGAACAACCGUGGCAGGGAAUGGCCGCGGGAUGACGUGAAUCCCGGAAUAAGCCCCGGCUAACUACGUGCCAGCAGCCGCGGUAACACGUAGGGGGCGAGCGUUGUUCGGAAUCAUUGGGCGUAAAGGGCGUGCAGGCGGUCCUGCAAGUCCGGCGUGAAAGACCCCGGCCCAACCGGGGGGGCGCGCUGGAAACUGCAGGGCUUGAGUACAGGAGGGGAUGCCGGAAUUCCAGGUGUAGGGGUGAAAUCUGUAGAUAUCUGGAGGAACACCAAUGGCGAAGGCAGGCAUCUGGCCAUGUACUGACGCUGAGACGCGAAGGUGCGGGGAGCAAACAGGAUUAGAUACCCUGGUAGUC
rnacentral:rRNA from 1 species